UACGAAGGGUGCAAGCGUUAAUCGGAAUUACUGGGCGUAAAGCGUGCGUAGGCGGUUUGUUAAGUCUGCUGUGAAAUCCCCGGGCUCAACCUGGGAAUGGCAGUGGAUACUGGCAAGCUAGAGUGUGUCAGAGGAUGGUGGAAUUCCCGGUGUAGCGGUGAAAUGCGUAGAGAUCGGGAGGAACAUCAGUGGCGAAGGCGGCCAUCUGGGACAACACUGACGCUGGAGGCGCGAAAGCGGUGGGGAGCAAACAGG
rnacentral:rRNA from 1 species